CUAGCGGCGCGCUUAACGCAUGCAAGUCGAGCGAUGAGGCUCCCUUCGGGGAGUCAUCAGCGGCAGACGGGUGAGUAACACGUAGAUAACCUGCCCUCAAGACGGGGACAACCGGUGGAAACAGCGGCUAAUACCCGAUAUGCUCACAGGAUCGGGAGAUCGAGUGAGGAAAGCGCCCCUUCGGGGGAGAGUGUUUGAGGAGGGAUCUGCGGCCCAUCAGCUAGUUGGUGAGGUAACGGCUCACCAAGGCGAAGACGGGUAGGGGGUGUGAGAGCAUGGCCCCCCACAAUGGGACUGAGACACGGCCCAUACUCCUACGGGAGGCAGCAGCGGGGAAUAUUGCGCAAUGGACGGAAGUCAGACGCGGCGACGCCGCGUGGGUGAGGAAGGCCUUCGGGUUGUAAAGCCCUUUUCAGGGGAGCGAGAAAGGACGGUACCCUUGGAAUAAGCGUCGGCUAACUACGUGCCAGCAGCCGCGGUAAGACGUAGGACGCAAGCGUUAUCCGGAUUUACUGGGCGUAAAGCGCCUGUAGGCGGUCAAGUAAGUCGGAUGUGAAAGCCCCGUGCUCAACGCGGGGAAGCCAUUCGAUACUGCGUGACUAGAGAACGGCAGAGGGAAACGGAAUUUCUGGUGUAGCGGUAAAAUGCGCAGAGAUCAGAAAGAACACCGAUGGCGAAGGCAGUUUCCUAGGCCGCAUCUGACGCUGAGAGGCGAAAGCUAGGGGAGCAAACAGGAUUAGAGACCCUGGUAGUCCUAGCUGUAAACGAUGGAUGCUAGGUGUGGGCCGGAAAGGUCCGUGCCGUAGUUAACGCGAUAAGCAUCCCGCCUGGGGAGUACGGCCGCAAGGCUAAAACUCAAACGAAUUGACGGGGACCCGCACAAGCAGCGGAGCGUGUGGUUUAAUUCGAUGCUACACGCAGAACCUUACCUGGGCUUGACAUGUAGGUGGUUUAGUGAAGUGAAA
rnacentral:rRNA from 1 species